GUAGGUGGCAAGCGUUGUCCGGAAUUAUUGGGCGUAAAGCGCGCGCAGGCGGGUUCUUUAAGUCUGAUGUGAAAGCCCACGGGCUCAACCGUGGAGGGUCAUUGGAAACUGGAGAACUUGAGUACAGAAGAGGAAAGCGGAAUUCCACGUGUAGCGGUGAAAUGCGUAGAGAUGUGGAGGAACACCAGUGGCGAAGGCGGCUUUCUGGUCUGUAACUGACGCUGAGGCGCGAAAGCGUGGGGAGCAAACAGGAUUAGGUACCCUGGUAGUCCACGCCGUAAACGAUGAGUGCUAAGUGUUAGGGGGUUUCCGCCCCUUAGUGCUGCAGCUAACGCAUUAAGCACUCCGCCUGGGGAGUACGGCCGCAAGGCUG
rnacentral:rRNA from 1 species